UUGAGGAAUAUUGCGCAAUGGAGGCAACUCUGACGCAGCCAUGCCGCGUGCAGGAAGAAGGCGCUACGCGUUGUAAACUGCUUUUAACCGGGAAGAAACCCCAGGACGUGUCCUGGGUUGACGGUACCGGAGGAAUAAGCACCGGCUAACUUCGUGCCAGCAGCCGCGGUAAUACGAAGGGUGCAAGCGUUAUCCGGAUUCAUUGGGUUUAAAGGGUGCGUAGGCGGAGCGUUAAGUCAGUGGUGAAAUCCUGCAGCUUAACUGUAGACUUGCCAUUGAUACUGGCGCUCUUGAGUGCGCUUGAAGUGGGCGGAAUGUGCCGUGUAGCGGUGAAAUGCUUAGAUAUGGCACAGAACACCAAUUGCGAAGGCAGCUCACUAAGGCGAUACUGACGCUGAGGCACGAAAGCGUGGGGAUCGAACAGGAUUAGAUACCCUAGUAGUCC
rnacentral:rRNA from 1 species